GCCACAUCCUGCGCGGAUUCCUGUUCCUGCUCUGGCUGCGACGGUGGAACUUCACCAAGGACUAUCAUGCGGGAUUCACCGCCUGCGGUUCCCUCCUCUGUUAAAACGAGAGAGAGAGACAAAAAUCGAGAAGAAAGCACGCAGAGAUUGAAACGGACACACGACGAGCAGAGUCAGCCAGCGAUCUACAGAGCGUUGCACGAUGACGACGUCAGUUCUCGCCCUUUCCGCGCUUUCGGUUAUUGAUCGCUGACGCUCCGGGGCUUGCGAUGCUCUUAAGCCGGCCUAUCGUUGCAAAUCAUGAUUCAUUCGGACCAACCCUCCAUUUAAAUACAUAUGUAAUGAAAAGGCUUAGUCACGUCAUAUAGAA